rnacentral:tRNA from 1 species
AGACGUGUAGCUCAGUUGGUUAGAGCACCACCUUGACAUGGUGGGGGUCGUUGGUUCGAAUCCGAUCACGUCUA